rnacentral:rRNA from 1 species
UCCCGCAACGAGCGCAACCCCUAUUGUUAGUUGCCAUCAUUAAGUUGGGCACUCUAGCGAGACUGCCGGUAAUAAACCGGAGGAAGGUGGGGAUGACGUCAAAUCAUCAUGCCCCUUAUGACCUGGGCUACACACGUGCUACAAUGGUUGGUACAACGAGUCGCAAGCCGGUGACGGCAAGCUAAUCUCUUAAAGCCAAUCUCAGUUCGGAUUGUAGGCUGCAACUCGCCUACAUGAAGUCGGAAUCGCUAGUAAUCGCGGAUCAGCACGCCGCGGUGAAUACGUUCCCGGGCCUUGUACACACCGCCCGUCACACCACGAGAGUUUGUAACACCCGAAGUCGGUGAGGUAACCUUUUAGGAGCCAGCCGCCUAAGGUGGGAUAGAUGAUUGGGGUGAAGUCGUAACAAGGUAGCCGUAUCGGAAGGUGCGGCUGGAUCACCUCCUUUCUAAGGA